rnacentral:rRNA from 1 species
UACGUAGGGUCCGAGCGUUGUCCGGAAUCAUUGGGCGUAAAGCGCGUGUAGGCGGUUCGGUAAGUCCGCUGUGAAAGUCGGGGGCUCAACCCUCGGAUGCCGGUGGAUACUGUCGGACUAGAGUACGGAAGAGGCGAGUGGAAUUCCUGGUGUAGCGGUGAAAUGCGCAGAUAUCAGGAGGAACACCGAUUGCGAAGGCAGCUCGCUGGGACGUUACUGACGCUGAGACGCGAAAGCGUGGGGAGCAAACAGG